AGGGUUUGAUUAUGGCUCAGGAUGAACGCUAGCGGCAGGCUUAACACAUGCAAGUCGAGGGGUAACAGGGAUUGCUUGCAAUCCGCUGACGACCGGCGCACGGGUGCGUAACGCGUAUGCAACCUACCUUCUACAGGGGGAUAGUCAAUAGAAAUGUUGAAUAAUACCCCAUACGAUCUUCAGAUAGCCUUAUUUGAAGAAGAAAGUUCCGGCGGUAGAAGAUGGGCAUGCGUCCUAUUAGUUAGUUGGAGAGGUAACGGCUCCCCAAGACAUCGAUAGGUAGGGGUCCUGAGAGGGAGACCCCCCACACUGGUACUGAGACACGGACCGGACUCCUACGGGAGGCAGCAGUGAGGAAUAUUGGACAAUGGAGGCAACUCUGAUCCAGCCAUGCCGCGUGCAGGAAGACUGCCCUAUGGGUUGUAAACUGCUUUUAUACAGGAAGAAAUGUACCUACGUGUAGGUAUUUGACGGUACUGUACGAAUAAGGAUCGGCUAACUCCGUGCCAGCAGCCGCGGUAAUAC
rnacentral:rRNA from 1 species